UCUGAUCUCAGAUCAAGCAAGAAGACCCGCCGAAUUUAAGCAUAUAAUUAAGCGGAGGAAAAGAAACUAACCAGGAUUCCCCUAGUAAGGGCGACUGAAGCGGGAAUAGCUCACGAUGUGAAUCAGCGCUGCUYUGUGGCGCCGAAUUGUGGUCUGAAAACGUUUGCAUUACUGGCGGGGCCAAGUCCCUUGGAACAGGGCAGCCGAGAGGGUGAGACUCCCGUGUGCCCUGCCUUUGGAGCGAGCGUUUGACGAGUCGAGUUGUUUGGG
rnacentral:rRNA from 1 species